rnacentral:rRNA from 1 species
AUUGAACGCUGGCGGCAGGCCUAACACAUGCAAGUCGAACGAGUGGCGGACGUGUGAGUAAUGUCUGGGAAACUGCCUGAUGGAGGGGGAUACCUACUGGAAACGGUAGCUAAUACCGCAUACCAUCAGAUGUACCCCAAUGGGUUUAGCUUGUUGGUGGGGUAACGGCUCACCAAGGCGACGAUCCCUAGCUGGUCUGAGAGGAUGACCAGCCACACUGGGACUGAGACACGGCCCAGACUCCUACGGGAGGCAGCAGUGGGGAAUAUUGCACAAUGGGCGCAAGCCUGAUGCAGCCAUGCCGCGUGUAUGAAGAAGGCCUUCGGGUUGUAAAGUACUUUCAGCGGGGAGGCGUUACCCGCAGAAGAAGCACCGGCUAACUCCGUGCCAGCAGCCGCGGUAAUAC